rnacentral:lncRNA from 1 species
CAACUAGAAGUAGAAGAAACCGUAAGGUUAGUUUCAAUCACGAGCAAGUCUAGCAUACCUUCAGAAGGUGUGUCCUUUUUGUUCUUCAGGCUCUCGAGGUAUGAAGGGCAGUUCCUUUUCUAGUGGCCGUUGACGUUGCAGUGGAAACAUUUUCCUUUGUCAUCAGCCCUUUUCUUAUGAACUUCCUUCUUAGGCUUUUUGUCUUUC